AGAGAGUAUUAUAUUGUUAGAUCGAGCUUUUGGGCAACAAUAACAUUCAGUAAAUUAGAUUAUGAUUUUGAAUAUAGGUAUGAAUAUUCUGUUUGAUCGAUCUUUUGGGCUAACAAUAUUAAAAUUCAAUAAGUUAGUUCUGAUUUUGAGGCCUCUAGCAUAUCUAUUACGUACAUAAUAAGUAGGAGUAUUCUAUUAGAUCGAUCUUUCGGGUAGCAAUAUAAUAAUGUUCAAUAAGUUAGAUUCUGAUUUUGAGGCGUCUGGCAUGUCAAUCAUGCACAUUAAGUAGGAGUAUUCUGUCAGAUUGAUCUUGAUCAACAACUACAGUAUUCAGUAGUAAAUUAGAUUCUAAUUUUGAGACCUCUGACUAGGGAUGCAAACGGGACGGAUCUGGGGUGCGGGAGCCCCGCCCCGCCUCCUACCCCGACUAGCGAAAUCCCGCCCGCCUCCCGCCCCGAAUCCGUGACGGGUUAAAAUAUAUAUCCCAUAAUCCGUCCCGUCUUGUAACCCGUCUCCCGCCGGCGCCUCGAAUCCGCCCCGCCAACUAAUAUUGUUUAUUAAAUUAUAAUAUUAUUAAUAUUUUGUAAAAUAUAAAAUAAUAAUUUUUAAUAAUAUUAUAUAUAUAAUUUAACAAUAUCAAUUAUAAAAAUAAAAAAUAUCAAUCACAAUUCAAAACAAAAUUUAAAAAUUUCAAAUAUAUUAGAAA
rnacentral:lncRNA from 1 species